rnacentral:tRNA from 1 species
UGCAGCAUAGCUCAGUGGUAGAACAUAUACUUAGCAUGCUUAAAGACCUGGGUUCAAUCCCCAGCACUACAA